AACAGAGGAAUUACGGAGAAGAAUUGCUGGGACUACUUGUCUCUUUCCAGUGAUCCUGCCGACCAAGGAUGAGUCUGAGGAGCUACCUAGCUGCAUACCAGAUGCCUGGAAGAGACGAGAGAGGCAAGCCUAUGGCCACACAAAUGCUUCACACCGCGUGGCCGCUGCCACUCUAACCUGGUGGUCCCAGCGCGCACGACCCACGUGGAGUUCCAGGUCUCCGGCAGCCUCUGGAACUGCCGGUCUGCGGCCAACAAAGCAGAGUUCAUCUCAGCCUAUGCUACCCUCCAGUCCCUCGACUUCUUGGCGUUGACGGAAACAUGGAUUACCACAGAAAACACUGCUACUCCU
rnacentral:lncRNA from 1 species